GGUAAGCUGCCCGGCUCUGCCAGGCAGGGAUCGGCUUCCCCGGCAGAGGGCCCCGCAGACCCCGCUGAAGUCCACUUACCUAAGGGGAAGGAGCAGUCCUCUGCGGAGCCGCCCGCGGUCCCCCGGAGCCACAGACCAGCUCCGAGAAGCCGUGCACGCGGUGUCUUUACUGCUCAGCGCGCCGCUCCCCGCUCUGUUUCUGUCCGCAGGAAAGGGACGGAGAUCCUCGCUCCGGGGACGAAGAUAAAAAGGCUGCUGAGGGCAGACACACAAAAAACUUCCCCGCCAGGAUGGGCGCAGUCCCGGCCUCCGCCCUUGCACUGGUCGUGGUUCUGAGUGUCCGGGGAACAGCUCAGAUCCUGCAGCCGCCCUCGGCUGAGGCGUUGGAUGGAGCUCCGCUGAACCUCACCUGUGACCACUCCUCAAUCACCCUGGGGGAUUUUAUCCACUGGUACCGGAAGGUCCCGAACCGCGGACCCCAAUUCAUUGUGUCCGGAUCGAAGGACACGGUCCAAGUCUCCGACCCGGAGGGCGCUCUGCACAUCUCGAAGGACAGAAAAUCCAGCCGCCUGGCUCUCCGCGCAGCCGGGCGGGGGGACGCGGCCGGGUAUUACUGCGCUGUGAGCGACACGGUGCGACAGGCAGGGGCUGCCCCGCACAAGAACCCGGCGUGGCAGGGCGGAGCGUCCUCUGGGGGGUGGGUGCAGGAGAAAGAGUGUUUGUUUGUUUUCUCGGGAAAAUUAAAUUGUACUCGGGAAGAAAACGAUGAACAAAAGCCAUUCCCCAGGGAGGCAGUGCGUGGCGGGAGAGUGCGAAAAGCGGGGUUCAUAUUUGUGGGGGGGGAGAUUUUUAAGGGGACAGAAAGAAACCUCAGUCAGAGGCAGCAGAAAGUACUGUUAAAUGGGAAACCCUGAGAAUAAAACAGGUAGGUUCUUCCCAGAACAGCUGCAAGAACAGUAAUAACAUUGUCAUGAGCAUUAGGUCCAUCGAAAAGAAGCAGGAAAGGAAGAAACCACAGAGAGGGAAGCGAAAAUAAAAGGAGUGGAGGGGAUAAGAGGAUGUUAAUGAUAGAAAGAUGCGGCUACUCUUCUAACCCCAGAGAACCCACCAUUAAUCCGGGCCAUCAGGUGGCCGUGGAGUUGGUAAAAAGAGUGCACUGUUAUCCAGAACCCUGUCUAUCCGUCUGUCCUUUUUGUCUCCCGGCCAACUCCACAAAUCCCUUCUGUGCGUCUGGACCCAUCUCCUGGGACCCGGAGCGGCUCCUGCCUUGUUCAGGGUCCAAACGCCCCAACUCUUACAGACGGUCACAACGGCAACACGUGACAUAGCUGCUCGGCUCCACUGAGGAAAAGAGAGGCAGUUCAGGGCGAGCUCAGAGGGUAACACCGCCUCUCUGCUCGGUUUGUGGGGGUGGGGAGCUGGUUCACUUCCAAGCCUCCUGAAACCUCUCCCAAUCAUUUAUGCACAACCUGGACCAUAUUCUACCAUCCACCCAAAGAUCCUGCUGCUUCACUCUUGCUUUUCCUCCUUCGAGCCCUAAGAGCAGGGUCCGCUUUCCUUGAUCAAUGAAGAUGUGUUUGAUACUCAGCCUUUCUCUACUGAUGUGUCCAGGUGACCGGCUCUAUCCUCUUUUAGCAGAACCCGGGACCUGCAGUACAUCCUAUACAAGGGGAUAAAGUCCGUCAGCUCACCUCCUGCACUGCAGACUUCUCAGAGGAAAGGUUUUCAUCCCCGACCGAUGACAACUCCACAGUGCUGAACAUCAGGGCUGUGCGAAAUUUCCCCGGCCGUUUCGGUUCUAGUCCCCCGACACCUCAUCCCCAGCAAAACUCUAAACAGCUCGGAAACAGCCUUUCUGUUUCCACAUAACAGAACGGAACAGCUGUUUGGACUCGAAAUGAAACUCGAGAUGAAACACUGUUCCGUGGAACCGUCAAAACUCAAGGUGAGAUGGAAUGGUGCUCUUUCGCACAGCCCUACGAAUAUCACCGUCCUGGACGGGGCAGAUACCUUGGUGUAUCACUGUACCCUGCAGAAGCACAGGGAGAGAUUCACAUGACAGAGCUGUGCAAAAGCUGUCCAUGCCAGCACACGGGGGUCUCCUAGUGAGGAAGGCCUGCAAGAUGGUGAUUGAGUGUGAACACAGUGCAACCACACCCAACAACUACACAGCCAACAAGGGCUAAAAAAGAAACAACCCAGCCAGGUUCCUGGACUCCUUACUAAAGGCAAUGAGGAACACCUCAUAAUCUCUCCAACCGCGGCCCGAGGCCUGCUGCAGGCAUAGGGGUGACCAGAGGUUGUUUAUACCAAGGCACAGCUCGAGCCCCUGGAAAGUUACAUUUCCAAACACAUCACCAGCACCCCUGUCAUGUACAUGGGAACAGCUAGUAGAAGAGCCACUACUUCAGGUUUUUUAUUAAAAUUAAUCUGGCAUUUCAGACCCCUCCAAACACCCCAAGAGAAUUAUUCCACGCUGAAAAGAAUUUCCCUCCCUGAGAUAAACCUCAGGCAGAGGACCAAUUCCCAGAGUUAAAUGUCAGAGCGGACUUGUCUGAUGUCCUCUCCCAACUGCCCAAGCUCCAAGAAACACAAAUGUCCACAUUGGGAUGUUUUUUUUUCCUCUUGACCUCAAAAAAACUCUUCAAGUAGGGGAUGGCAUAUACCACUGAGAGGGGUUUCUAAAAAGGGUUCUGUUACCAGAUUUCCCCUCACUUCGGGGUGCUUUCAUUUAUUAGGGGUACUUUUCUGGAGUGUCUGUAAUUCUAUCAAUGUGCUGUUUGUGUUACUUGUGUUUCUAUAUGGAGCUAUAUGGAGCUCCCUUCUGCAAGUCCUCACCCCCAAUGGAGCUAUCUUCCAGGACUCAGUUUCAAUGGUGCUGGGUGCCUCCAACCACGGAAUCAGUCAAAUACCUGUACGCACAUACACACACAGAUUAACAGGACAUGCUUGA